GUAGGUGGCAAGCGUUGUCCGGAAUUAUUGGGGCGUAAAGCGCGCGCAGGCGGUUCUUUAAGUCUGAUGUGAAAGCCCACGGGCUCAACCGUGGAGGGUCAUUGGAAACUGGAGAACUUGAGUACAGAAGAGGAAAGCGGAAUUCCACGUGUAGCGGUGAAAUGCGUAGAGAUGUGGAGGAACACCAGUGGCGAAGGCGGCUUUCUGGUCUGUAGCUGACGCUGAGGCGCGAAAGCGUGGGGAGCAAACAGGAUUAGAUACCCUGGUAGUCCACGCCGUAAACGAUGAGUGCUAAGCGUUAGGGGGUUUCCGCCCCUUAGUGCUGCAGCUAACGCAUUAAGCACUCCGCCUGGGGAGUACGGCCGCAAGGCUG
rnacentral:rRNA from 1 species